rnacentral:misc_RNA from 1 species
AAGACUAUAGACCUGCGGAGUACCUGCGGAAGGAUCAUUACCGAGUUUACAACUCCCAAACCCAAUGUGAACGUUACCAAACUGUUGCCUCGGUGGGAUCUCUGCCCCGGGUGCGUCGCAGCCCCGGACCAAGGCGCCCGCCGGAGGACCAACCAAAACUCUUUUGUAUACCCCCUCGCGGGUUUUUAUAUCUGAGCCAUCUCGGCGCCUCUCGUAGGCGUUUCGAAAAUGAAUCAAAAC